ACUAAUAUGGCAGAUAAGUGCAAUGGAUUUAAGCUCCAUAAAUAAAGAAUAUUCCUUUUAUUAGUA
rnacentral:tRNA from 2 species